GCGGGAAUAGCUCAGUUGGUAGAGCACGACCUUGCCAAGGUCGGGGUCGCGAGCUCGAGUCUCGUUUCCCGCUCCA
rnacentral:tRNA from 2 species